GGACGGCCUGCGGAGGACUGGAUUGUGAAACAGCUGCUGGGAGGGGGCUGCCCCCGGUUUUGGUCUUUACCGGAGUUUCCUUCCUCUUCGCUGUUUUUCUUUUCUUUCCUCCCCCACCACUGGGGAAAUUAGUUUGGCGAUUGUAGAAAAGACCCUCUACUGUUGCCAAGGACCUCGCGUGGCUAUUGUUCAUCCAGGGGUUAACGUGCAAGUGAC
rnacentral:lncRNA from 1 species